rnacentral:rRNA from 1 species
UACGGGGGGAGCAAGCGUUGUCCGGAAUUAUUGGGCGUAAAGGGCGUGUAGGCGGCCUGGUCAGUCGAAUGUGAAAUCCCACGGCUCAACCGUGGAACUGCGUUCGAUACUGCCUGGCUUGAGUAUGUGAGAGGUGUGCGGAAUUCCUGGUGUAGCGGUGGAAUGCGUAGAUAUCAGGAAGAACACCGAUGGCGAAGGCAGCACACUGGCGCAAUACUGACGCUGAGGCGCGAAAGCGUGGGGAGCAAACAGG